rnacentral:rRNA from 1 species
AUGUCCGGAGCAGGAGGCAAGUGGAUGGCCUCCUCCGUCAUGGAGGGGCAUAUCCAGAAGCUGCGCAGCGCUGGAUACUUGUCCAGCGACAUCGCGCACCGGCUCCCCGACGAGGGAGAGCUCAUGCCCACCCCUAGGCCCCAUGAGAGGGCAGUAUUCCUUCCCCAUUUCCUCCGCGGACUGGGCUUCCCACUUCAUCCCUUUGUCCGGGGGCUCAUGUUCUACUAUGGCCUAGAUUUCCACGAUCUGGCCCCGAAUUUUAUCCUCAACAUCUCGGCGUUUAUCGUCGUGUGCGAGGCCUUCCUCUGCAUACAACCCCACUUCGGCUUGUGGCUCAAGACCUUCAGUGUCAAGCCGAAGGUUGUGAAGGGCAGCCAAGCGGAGUGCGGAGGCGCCAUGGUGGGCAGGAUGUCCCACGUUACGUGGCUGGAGGGCACCUUUAUGGAAACCAUCAAGGGGUGGAAAUCGGGGGGGUUCUACAUCACCGAGCCGCGUGAUCCCGAAUGGGCAGCGGCCCCCGAAUUCAGAUCCGGCAUCCCCACACGGCUCACCUCCUGGAAAGAGAGCAGCCGGAUUUGGGGCGAUUCAGAGGAGCUGACCGGACUCCAAGCCUGCGUCCAAAAGCUGGUGGACAAGAAGCUCAAGCUUGUCAACGUAGUCCAGGUCAUGCUCAUCCGCCAGAUUCUCCCGUGCCAACGACGGGGCUUCAAUAUGUGGGUCGCCGUGGUGGUCUAG